GGGGAUAGCCCGAAGAAAUUUGGAUUAAUACCCCAUAAUAUUAUUGGAUGGCAUCAUUUGAUAAUUAAAAUUACGAUGGUGAAAGAUGGGCAUGCGUCCUAUUAGCUAGUUGGAGUGGUAACGGCACCCCAAGGCUACGAUAGGUAGGGGUCCCGAGAGGGAGAUCCCCCACACUGGUACUGAGACAGGGACCAG
rnacentral:rRNA from 1 species